rnacentral:rRNA from 1 species
ACUCCUACGGGAGGCAGCAGUAGGGAAUCUUCCACAGUGGGCGCAAGCCUGAUGGAGCAACACCGCGUGAGUGAAGAAGGGUUUCGGCUCGUAAAGCUCUGUUGUUAAAGAAGAACACGUAUGAGAGUAACUGUUCAUACGUUGACGGUAUUUAACCAGAAAGUCACGGCUAACUACGUGCCAGCAGCCGCGGUAAUACGUAGGUGGCAAGCGUUAUCCGGAUUUAUUGGGCGUAAAGAGAGUGCAGGCGGUUUUCUAAGUCUGAUGUGAAAGCCUUCGGCUUAACCGGAGAAGUGCAUCGGAAACUGGAUAACUUGAGUGCAGAAGAGGGUAGUGGAACUCCAUGUGUAGCGGUGGAAUGCGUAGAUAUAUGGAAGAACACCAGUGGCGAAGGCGGCUACCUGGUCUGCAACUGACGCUGAGACUCGAAAGCAUGGGUAGCGAACAGGAUUAGAUACCCUGGUAGGAUAGCG